CAGUAGCCGCGGUAAUACGAAGGGGGCUAGCGUUGCUCGGAUUUACUGGGCGUAAAGGGCGCGUAGGCGGACAGUUAAGUCGGGGGUGAAAGCCCGGGGCUCAACCUCGGAAUUGCCUUCGAAACUGACUGUCUUGAGUACGGGAGAGGUGAGUGGAGCUCCGAGUGUAGAGGUGAAAUUCGUAGAUAUUCGGAAGAACACCAGUGGCGAAGGCGACUCACUGGCCCGUUACUGACGCUGAGGCGCGAAAGCGUGGGGAGCAAACAGGAUUAGAGACCCCAGUAGUCCCUGUCUCUUAUAC
rnacentral:rRNA from 1 species